rnacentral:tRNA from 2 species
GCCGGAGUGGCGGAAUGGCAGACGCGAUCGAUUCAAAAUCGAUUGCCCGAAAGGGCGUGUGGGUUCGAAUCCCACCUCCGGUA